CAGCCGCCGCGGGAAUACGGAGGGUGCAAGCGUUAAUCGGAAUUACUGGGCGUAAAGCGUGCGUAGGCGGUCCGUUAAGUCUGUUGUGAAAGCCCCGGGCUCAACCUGGGAAUGGCAAUGGAUACUGGCGAGCUAGAGUGUGUCAGAGGAUGGUGGAAUUCCCGGUGUAGCGGUGAAAUGCGUAGAGAUCGGGAGGAACAUCAGUGGCGAAGGCGAGUCACUGGACAACAUCUGACGCUGAGGCUCGAAGGCUAGGGUAGCGAAAGGGAUUAGAUACCCGAGUAGUCCCUGUCUCUUAUAC
rnacentral:rRNA from 1 species